AUGGAGGGCGUGGAGGGCCUGAUGAGGGGUUUGAAGCUGUCAGCGGUGGAGAGUAAGGGUGUGAAGUUAGGGCAGGAGGAGAAGGGGAAAUCUCAAGACUGCGACAUGGAUGAUCCCCAAGCUGUGGGGAAGCUGUUCUCGGAAAAACCUAAGAUUGCGGGGAUAGUAGGGCAAACUUUGGGUAGGAUAUGGUGCCCAAUUAAAGGACUGGAGUGCAAGGAACUUGAGACAAAUAUCUUCAUGUUUACCUUCCGGCAGGCAUCAGGUUGGAGACGAGCUUUGGAGGAUGGUCCCUGGUGGUUUGACAAUGAGCUUUUAGUCAUGGAGGAGUUCGACCCGGAGAAGACGGUGGAGGAGUAUGAUUUCAACCUCAUACCCAUGUGGCUUCGGAUCUUCGGCCUUCCCCUGGGACAUAUGAAUAGAACCACUGGAGAGACUAUAGGUGCGGAUUUCUAUGAGUUUCUGGACGUGGAUGUUGGGCAUGAUGGAAAGGCGUUGGGGAAGUACCUCCGGGUGAAGGUAAAACUUGAUAUCAAUGAGCCCCUCCCUAGGGGUUUUGUUCUGGAUAGGGCGAGGGGACAGGAGGCGGGGAAGAAUGGAGGAGUAGAGGAGCCUGAUGAGAAUAACAGCACGAAGAAGAAAAAGAAGGACUUACUAUGGUGCCGCUUCGAAUAUGAACACAUGCCCGAUUUCUGCUAUACCUGUGGGGUGAUCGGACAUGGUGAGAAGGAGUGCAACAAGAAGCCUAGUAGAGGAGAGGCACCACAGUAUGGUCCAUGGAUGAGGGCUGAGGAAAACAGCAGAAGAGGGGAGGAUGGAGGAAGAGGGAGUUGGCAUGGCCCCCGAGGUAGUGUGGACAGAAGGAGGAUUGGUGGAAGGAGAGGGAGUCAAGGGUCGCAAGGAUCAGGAGAGAGGAGGCAAUAUAGCUAG
rnacentral:rRNA from 1 species